UUAUUUUAGGCUUUAAGCAAUCCUUUGAGGUGCCAAUCCUUAUAGUCAUAUUAUAGGUGAGGAAAUGGGCUCAGUAAAAUAUCCUAUCUGCCCAAGACUUCACUGUAGCAGAACAACUCUAAAUAUACCAUUUUUCUCAUAGCAUACAGCUACCAAUAAAACAUGGCGAACUGCAGUUGAUUUGUCUGAUUAAGUUUGACACAGAAAGGAGGAAAAUAAAUAAGGUGGGAAGCCGAGAGCACCUUGCUGGGGAGACGGGAACCUUGCAAUCAGGUCAUGGAAAGGGAACGAGGUGUGAAUGGAAGGAUCUGAAGCUGAUCUCCUAAGAGUGGAGGACAGAAGGGAUUAAGUAAAACAUACUGCCUAAUGCCCCUGCCACCCUGCAGACUGCCCGGGCAUUUCCUCUGCAGCACUGGAGUUACAUGAGUAUCAAGGGUCCAUUGUUGUUCACCCCUAGUUCUAGAAUGCUAAGCUCAGUGCUUUGAAAAGGCUCCUGUAAAGGUGAGUCAUUAAUAAAACAAUUGCUGAUACGUUGGAAGAGUA
rnacentral:lncRNA from 1 species